rnacentral:rRNA from 1 species
UACGUAGGGUGCGAGCGUUGUCCGGAAUCACUGGGCGUAAAGCGCACGUAGGCGGCUUUCUAAGUCAGGGGUGAAAUCCUGGAGCUCAACUCAAGAACUGCCUUUGAUACUGGAGAGCUUGAGUCCGGAAGAGGUGAGUGGAACUCCGAGUGUAGAGGUGAAAUUCGUAGAUAUUCGGAAGAACACCAGUGGCGAAGGCGGCUCACUGGUCCGGUACUGACGCUGAUGUGCGAAAGCGUGGGGAGCAAACAGG